UGGGGAAUCUUGCACAAUGGGGGCAACCCUGAUGCAGCGACGCCGCGUGAGCGAUGAAGCCCUCCGGGGCGUAAAGCUCUUUCGACCGGAACGAUAAUGACGGUCCCGGGAGAAGAAGCUGCGGCUAACUACGUGCCAGCAGCCGCGGUAAUACGUAGGCAGCAAGCGUUGUUCGGAGUUACUGGGCGUAAAGAGUGCGUAGGCGGUUUUCUAAGUUCGGUGUGAAAUCUCCCGGCUUAACUGGGAGGGUGCGCCGAAGACUGGGAAGCUGGAGUGUGGGAAAGGCAGGCGGAAUUCCUGGUGUAGCGGUGAAAUGCGUAGAUAUCAGGAGUAACACCGGCGGUGUAGACGGCUUGCUAGACCAUAACUGACGCUGAGGCACGAAAGCGUGGGUAGCAAACA
rnacentral:rRNA from 1 species